rnacentral:lncRNA from 1 species
UCCUUUUUAAAUUUAUUUAUUUUUAAUAAUUUUUUUAAAUUUUCAUGUCAAGAGUGUCAAGUCAUCAUCAUAGUCCUCAUCACUUGAAUUUUCUUUCAAGAAGUCUUAUUGAGUUCCUAGUGUCAUAUCCUUCCUGUUCUUUAGAAGGUUAUUCUCAAGCACUUCAUGAGCAUUGCAAAUCAUCUCAUAGGUCAUUAGUG